rnacentral:tRNA from 1 species
UGGGGGUUGUCACUCAGUGGUAGAGCGUGUGCCUAGCAUGCAUGAGGCACUGGGUUCAAUCCUCAGCUCCACAU